ensembl:lncRNA
UGAUACUUGAGCAUGCUCAUCUGAUAUUUAAAAUGAGCUGCAAUCAACUGCCAAGAGCAUUUUGUCAAUAUUGUACGGAAGCAACAGAUGUAUGCACCAUUACCUGCAAAUGCUGUAUCAGUCUGUUGAUUCUGGACUAUUUAGGAGUUUAAUCCACAUUUAUGUUCAUACGUUGGUUAUUUUUCAGAAUUUGGUGAAAAUAAAAGGAACACAAUAGCCAGCUGCAGGGGAAGUUCUGGUGGUUUGGUGGUGAGGAGGGAAUCCAGGCACAGUGUAAUCAUUGCUCACAUGUCAAUCCAGACUGAUCAGUUCUGUCACUGCUUUUGGAUGGAAACAGUUUUUUCUUCCCUGUGCGGAAAGCAGAAGCGGUCAGCCACAGCUGCCCUUUUCCUGUCUUUGUUGUUAAAUGACAGAAAUAUUUAGAAUCUGUUUUCCAUUUUAGUUAUGUUUAUUUGAAAAUGGGUCAUCCGAAAUGAAAUUUCUUCUGCUGAAUGAAAACUCGAUCACAGCUUUUUUUUUGUUUUGUUUUUUUAGGCUCAAACUGAUUUCAAAACAUUUUAAAAUGUAGGAGUUGUGGUAUUUUAAAAUUAUGCAUGUCAGAGAAAACAGACAUAAAUGUUCAGUGACUAAAACAUGUAUUCCCAGCCGUAACUUCAGAAGAUUUUUUUAUUUGAGUUUGCUGAGGAGAAACCACAUUUCUUUUUUCAUUUGUUUAACCAAUGUAUCCACAUGGUACUCAUGUACAUUUCCAUAGAAGUUAUAAAACCAAGAUGCUUUUGCAAACUCGAGUUCAGAGAUUGACACUUAAACUACACUAAAAUAUGUCUGUACACAGCUAUAGAUAUUUAUCUUGUCUAAUGUGUCUUCUUUUGUACCCAUAUGUGAUCACUAAUAGUAAAUAAAAGUACAGGAAAAAUGAGCUGCAGUGAGUGCAAAUGAGUCUUUAUAUUAGCAUAUAAGUGUCAAUGGACACUUGCAGAUAAGUGUUUCAGUAGAAAUCACUGUAACCCAUUACAUUCCUGGGAACAGUUUAACUGUCAU